rnacentral:misc_RNA from 1 species
AAUUGCUGCUGCUGCUGCUGGUUGUUGUUGUUGCUGAACGGGUUGUACGUGCAGUUCUGCGUCUCGGCGUUGCAGCACUCCGGGCCACACGGAAUAUAGCUCGAGUUCGAUACGUUGCCGGUCGUGCCGCUCAGCGAGUUCGACACAUACCCGUAGGUCUGGCACACGUACUCGGUCAUCGGCUGGAAGCACUCGUUGCUGAGCCCCAGGCAGCAACCAGCCUCCAGACACUGCUGCGGCGAGUAGCUCGUGCGCUGCGUCCCGUGCUGCUCCCCGUACAGAAGCGUGUUCAGCAGACGCACAAACUGGUUAUUGUUGAUGUUAUUGUUCAGCUGCUGGUUCUGAUUCACCGCGUUCGUGCACGGCUGGCGCUCAAACUCGCCCACCGCGCACGUCUUCACGGGCUGGAAGCAGUACGGGUUCGACUCAAAGUCGCUCUGCUGCUUGCCGUUCUGCACCCACUGGUUCUGCGCCUGCGAGUCGUAGCAGCAGCCCUGGGCAUAGCACGUAAACUGGUUGAUGCCCGCGUUGCCGCACGGCUGGCGCUGCGCUCCCGGUGACGGGCAGAGGGGAACCGGUGCCUGCACCUCCUGCAGCGCUACAGAGGCCUGCGGUGCAUGGUUGAUGUCGUAGUAGCACCAGGGUGCCAGGAUGCCGUUCGCUGUGGGCUGCCAGCAGCAUCCCGGUAUCGCAGUGCACUCGUCGGGGUAGAUAUAGCUCCAGCCGCAGGGGACGCGCUGUGUCACUGGAACAGCGCUGCAGGCCGCUGAGACGCUCUUCAGGGUGCACGCGUUCGUCUGGGCGUUGAAGCAGCAUCCGACUUGCUCGCAAGCGUCCUGGUUUGUGUACUGGCCCGGAGAACCGCAGAUUUCACUCGUGCAAACUGGUGUUGGCGUUGCACUCGGUGUCGGGGUUAUAAUAGCAAGUGUCGCACCAGAGGGUAGAAUUGUAGAAAGCAGGUCGGUGAAAGUUUGAAGCACAAUUUGCAGUUCACUGGCGAGGGAUGUGUCUCCUGAGAUCUUAAUCACAUAGGUCACAACACUGCCGCCCGAAGUGCGCACCAAUGCUCGUUCCAGACGAGGAUUGCUCUUGUCUAAUGUGGUGGCGAGGCGCCUUGAUGUACCCGAACCGAAGACCGUGUCGCAGUUAUCAGUCACGCUAACAUUCACUUCCAGGCCUAUGAAGCGAGCCUCGAGAUCGUUCUGCAAAUCCGUCGCCACGGCCAAACAAAGAGAAAGAUUCUGAACGGAUAUCGCAAUCGAGGUGGAAAUCGUCGUCGGCACGAUUGUUGGUGACGUUGUUGUAGUCGGUGUCAUCGUAGGCGUCGGCGUCGGUGUCAUCGUCGGCGUCGGUGUCAUCGUCGCUGACACCGAUGGAGCCACCGAACUUGUUGGUGACAAUGUUGCAGUCGCUGUCAUUGUCGAUUGUGCUUCGGCCCCUAGCGUGGCACACCCAACAGCAAGCGACAGAGCUGCGACCAAGACGAACAACUGUUUACACAGUUCGCCGAAGUUGCGAUAUUUUCCUGCUCCUGGUCUCAUGCUUCUAGAGCUAAGAACUUCUUGUCGACACUAGGUUUUUGUGAAUACUUAUUUCUUACAGCUGCACCGGUUGCUGAGAUGUUUUGUCGCACCGCGAGUUUCGCUAUCUCUCUGGCUACGAAACAGCCCAGUCGGCUACCGAGCGCUGUGUGAAGAACACCAACGCAGCGGCGAUAGCGCCUGUGAAAAAAUUUAAAACGCGCAACAUGCCUCGAAGCCGCGGCAAUCGAUGAUCACGGCGAAGGAGAAACGGUUCGAGACGAUCCCUGCAGGCGCGGUUUCGAUUUCGCGUUUCGCGCCAAAAGCGAUUGCGCAGACGUGUCCCCGAGCGAGCUCUGGUUUGCUUCAUUAUCGGCGUGGGGCACGUGUCCUUCAUCGAUCGGCGUAGUGUCCCGCGAGGCGCACGCAUCGCGGUCAGUGAGCGCACCUCGGAGAUCGAGCAGUCAACUGACGCGACGCGCAUGGCUCCGUUGAAGGGAAACGCGGUUGGGAUCAAUAGCAUGUUGUUCUACCGGAAAAAGUUGGAUUUCCGUUCAGGUCGUAGCCAAGUACAGUCUUUCAGUUCGUUUCUGUUUGAAACUUCAAACAAGUCUAGUCAAGUGUUUUUCGUGGUUUAUAGUAGACGCGUUCGUACCGCGUUCGUUCGCAAAAAAAACAAAAAAAGGAAAGCUAUGGAAAAGCAAGUCCACGAUCCUGGAGGCCCAGGGUCGCCGGCUGCCAGAAAAAAUACAAAAAACAGUGCCGAGUCCAGAAGAAAAGGAAGAGAAAAAGAGGCAAAAGGGGGAGGCCCUACGUUGAAGGCGGCAAGAAAGACGACUGUACGACGAGAAGGUGGUGAAACCCUUUCUUCUUGGACAUAUCCGUAUGGGAAAAGUUGCGAGACGCUAUCAAAAAACGUGUCGACUCGUACUCCAUGAGUAUUGUCAAGACGUCGUCAGCACUGAUGCAUUUGGUGAGGGAGAUGUAUCGCGACGUGACGCACAUGGAAACGGUCGAGACUCCGGACGGGUUUUUCGAUAAGACAUUUAUUCGUCACCUGAUGCUUGGCACAGGGGAAGCGCGGAGGGAAAUUGAGCUAAUGCAUGCCCUCCACGAAAACUUCGCAGAAUUCCGCUUCGAGGGUACCCCAUUCAGGGGUGACCCGGAUAUUUACACAUAUGGGGCGAUGAAGUACCUCACGAACCUGAAGAACCAUUUGACAAUGAACCUCGAACUUUUCAUGAUACGCGCCGUGUUUGCACUCUACCCAGGCAUCUCUCGGAAAGGAAUAUGGGCGAUGAUCAACGGCGUCACGAACGAUCGAAAGUAUGAAGAUGAGAUCGAAUUUGUCGACAAGUAGGUGCCAAACGAGAGCACGAAUGAAGCCUCUGUAAUCCGUGCGGUUAUACGAGAGCACCGUGCAGU